rnacentral:rRNA from 1 species
UACAGAGGGUGCAAGCGUUGUUCGGAAUUAUUGGGCGUAAAGAGCUUGUAGGCGGUUUGUCGCGUCUGCUGUGAAAUUUCGGGGCUCAACCCCGAACUUGCAGUGGGUACGGGCAGACUAGAGUGUGGUAGGGGAGACUGGAAUUCCUGGUGUAGCGGUGAAAUGCGCAGAUAUCAGGAGGAACACCGAUGGCGAAGGCGGCAUCCUGGACCAAUUCUGACACUGAGGAGCGAAAGCCAGGGGAGCAAACGGG